GAGUGUGGGGUCCACUUCCGGCUGGGGGCGCGGCUCAGGCUCGGGGCCUGAGGAGACGGGUUCUUGGCGUGCGGCGCGCGGGGUGCCCCGUCCCCCGCAAAGCGCGUCCGGUUCCGCGUGUGGGAGCCCCACCCUCGGGCUUGCGCGUCCCGGGGCGUCUGUGCUCCGGCCUCUGUCCCGGGGGGGUCCCGCGGGGCCGGGGCCGGGGCUGCCCGAGGAGCCUACACGGAGCCUCGCUAGCGAGCGGCCGCCGCGGUUCAUAACGUUCUGUGCUUGUAAAACAGCAUUGUGGAUACUGGAGAGAGCCACCCACAACUUAGACAGUAAAACCUUGAUUAACCGGAACUCAGCUAACCGGUAUUUUUGUGAGGGUGGAAGGAAGCUGCAGGCGGAAGGCAGGGAGAGCUGCCCCCAACCACCAAGAAGCCUUGAAGUUCAAAGCAAAGUUCUGUGAUUGGUUGCUUCAUCGACUGAGAAGAUCUGCCUCCCCAAGUCAGAGAAGCUCUGCAUGUGGUCUGGGAACUGAACAAGUUGCUAAAAAAGUGGAUUUCUGUGAGCACUUGAGUGCAGAAGACGGGGGAAGCUGAGGCAAACGGGUGGGGGUCUUGGGCAGUGGGAGGAGAAGGAAGGAAAACUGGUGGGAAAUGGGAAUAAGGACAGGGCAAGAAGGGAAGACCAAGUGUUGGUGAAGUGGAGAGGUAGCCAGGAACCUUGGGAGAAAGGAGUGUGGGUGGAAGCUGUGAGAGGAAAAUUAAAAGGAAGGAGAGGAAAACCUCAAGCAAAUUGAAAGAGAGAGGGGGGCAGUGAGGUGAGAGGAGAAAAGCCAAAUCAAUACUGUGUGCAAGGAGAGCAUACACCUCUAUUCCUCUGUAAGUCACAGUG
rnacentral:lncRNA from 1 species